AGCCGGACUUCGCCCCCGACGGAGCUGCCCUGCGCUCGUGGGGCUCAGGCCCGCGCUCGUUUUGAGCCCCAGAGCGCAGAGGCAAGCAACGUGUGGUCGUCCAUGUAUUGCUGGACUGCAACUCCCGUCAGCCUCAGCCAGUGUGGCCAAUGGGUUUAUUUGGUGUAGCGGAGCUGAAUUGUCCAGAAGGAUUUCAAGAAGCUCAAGAAAAAUCACUCCAAGAAGCAGAACUCCUAGUACAGAAAGCAUGUACUACACCACCUGGAAAGGAAACAGUAAUGAUCUUUGAUGAGCUCUCAGAUGCCUUGUGUAGAGUAGCAGAUCUAGCUGACUUUGUGAAAAUUGCCCAUCCUGACCACGCUUUUAGAGAAGCUGCUGAAGAUGCCUGCAGAAGCAUUGGUACGAUGGUAGAAAAAUUAAAUACAGAUGUAGAUUUGUGUCAAAGCCUGAGAAAACUGUUGGCUGAUAAAGAUAUUAUGGCUUCCCUUGAUCCAGAAACAAGGAAAGUGGCAGAACUUUUCAUGUUUGAUUUUGAGAUCAGUGGUAUCCAUUUGGAUGGAAAAAAGCGUAGGAGAGCAGUAGAUCUCAAUGUCAAAAUACUGGAUUUAUGUAAUGAAUUUCUCAUGGGAUCUCAUUUGCCAAACAAGAUUGAGAAGCACAUCCUACCACAACAUAUUCAGCAUAACUUUGCAGUUGAAGGCAGUUACGCCCUAAUCACUGGUCUCAAUGCAGAUAGUCCAGAUGAUUUGGUACGUGAAGUAGCCUACAAGGUUUUUCUCUACCCAAAUGCUCGGCAACUGCAUUGUUUAGAGGAACUGCUUACAAGCAGAAACCUCCUUGCUCAGUUAGUUGGAUAUGAGACAUUUGCUCAUCGGGCUCUUCAGGGAACAAUGAUCAAAACCCCAGAGAAAGUAAUGCAGUUUCUUGAAAAGCUUUCAGAUAAGUUACUCAGUCGAACUCUGAAGGAUUUUGAAAUGAUGGAAGCUAUGAAAGUGAAACUUAAUCCUGUUAAAUCAAAACUAAUGCCUUGGGAUCAUCCAUACUAUAGUGGUGUCCUGCGUGCUGAGAGGUAUAAUAUUGAACCCAGUUUAUAUUGUCCCUUUUUCUCUCUUGGAGCAUGUAUGGAAGGACUGAACAGCUUGUUCAAUAAGCUCUUAGGAAUCUCUCUUUAUGCUGAACAGCCUGAGAAGGGAGAAGUAUGGUGUGAGGACGUUCGUAAACUGGCAGUUGUCCAUGAACAAGAAGGAUUAUUGGGAUAUAUCUACUGUGAUUUCUUUCAAAGACCAAACAAGCCUCAUCAGGAUUGCCACUUUACAAUAAGAGGAGGCAGACUAAGGAAAAAUGGAGAAUACCAACUUCCUGUUGUUGUCCUUAUGUUAAGUUUGCCCCAUUCCUCCAAUGGUUCACCAACAUUGCUAACUCCUGGAAUGAUGGAAAAUCUUUUCCAUGAAAUGGGGCAUGCUAUGCAUUCUAUGCUGGGAAGAACUCGCUACCAACAUGUUACUGGAACAAGAUGUUCUACAGACUUCGCUGAAGUUCCCUCAAUCUUGAUGGAGUACUUUGCAAAUGAUUAUAGAGUGGUGAACCAAUUUGCAAGGCAUUAUAAAACAGGCCAGCCACUGCCCAAAAACAUGGUGUCAAGACUCUGUGAAUCUAAAAAAGUUUGUGCUGCAGCUGAUAUGCAGCUUCAGGUUUUUUAUGCUGUCUUGGACCAAAUAUACCAUGGGAAGCAUCCUCUCGAGAAGUCAACCACAGAAAUUUUAAAGGAAACCCAAGAGAAAUUUUACAGAUUGCCAUACGUUCCUAAUACUGCUUGGCAGCUCAGAUUCAGCCAUCUUGUGGGUUAUGGUGCCAAGUAUUAUUCCUACCUCAUGUCUAGGGCUGUAGCAUCCAUGGUAUGGAAACAGUGUUUUGCGCAGGAUCCCUUCAACAGGGCAAUGGGGGAACGUUAUCGCAAAGAAAUGCUGGCAUAUGGUGGUGGAAAAGAACCCAUGCUCAUGGUUCAAGCUCUGCUGCCUGGAUCAGAAUUCUUCCCUUCACCUACUCUGUGCUCCUGUUGAUUUAAUAGAGCAUGAUCAUUUUGGGACCAGAUCUUCCUGUCUGACAGCAGCUUGUAUUCCAACACAACAGAUCCAGGGCUGCAGAGCUAAGAGCCUCCCCGAGCAACAGAAUAGUUUAACCCCCAUCAAUUGAGAGGCCUGUUCCCUGAAUGUGGAAAAGUUGGUUCCUGGUCACCACUUGCUUGUUCCCUUCUUGAGAGAGGAAUGCAGCUAAUGCAUCACGGGGGCACCUUACAAAUUUGAGGGGACACUUAUUUUGUAUUCUGAUACAUAGAGCUAUCUAUUUUUUAAAAAAAGUGAAAACUGAUCCUAAGAUGGGAAGAGUUGCCUGUGAGACUUCAAGGAGCAAAAAUAAUCUUGGACAUGAUUGCUGCCUCUCUGGUCACCAAAGCCCCAUGCAGGAAGUAAUCCAUCCUUCCAUCAUAAGAGUAGAGGAGCCCCUUUGCUUGGCCGGCAGAAUUCCAUUACGAUCCACACAUUGGAGGGCAAAGUCUGCAGUGGGGAGGCUGCUCCUUGGCACAUGCCUUCACCUUGAGAUGUACAGAGAGUGUUUGGACCAGAAGACAAGGCCAGCAAGCCCCUCUCCACACUCCCUUCACACAGUAACCACUGAAUGCCUGAAUAAGGUUGCAGCCUAUUUGGCUUGGGUUCUGCACUCCUGGGCAUUCAUGAUGAGAAGAAACUGAAACCGAAGGGGAUGAGCGAGGAGCAUGAGAUCCUUGAUAUUCCAGCUUCAUGGGUUUUUUCUUCACAAGAGGAACAAGGGUGUGCUUCAGAAGCAUCCUUCAGUGGAAGACUUUGUUGAUGCUCUUGUUUCAGACUUAGACCAAGACUUUGAAAC